rnacentral:rRNA from 1 species
UACGUAGGGGGCAAGCGUUGUCCGGAUUCAUUGGGCGUAAAGCGCGUGUAGGCGGCCAGGCAGGUCCGUUGUGAAAACUCGAGGCUCAACCUCGAGACGCCGGUGGAAACCGUAAAGCUAGAGUCCGGAAGAGGAGAGUGGAAUUCCUGGUGUAGCGGUGAAAUGCGCAGAUAUCAGGAAGAACACCCGUGGCGAAGGCGGCUCUCUGGGACGGUACUGACGCUGAGACGCGAAAGCGUGGGGAGCGAACAGG